rnacentral:tRNA from 1 species
GUUCCUGUAGUUAAAUAGAUAACGGUGGUUUUUCAAGCCAUCAUUCUUGGUUUAAGUCCUGGCGGGAACU